GUUUAAGAAACUUUGAAGUUGAAGGAUUGAUCCUAGAUUCUUCCUCAGUGUUACAUUCAUCUGGAAUGGAACUAGACGAAGGGAAAUAUGAUAUUGAAACACGAAAAUCAGUGUUUUUAUUGACUUCCUCUUUACUGGCAACUGCAUCAGCCGGUGCGGAAACUCGACAAAAUUCUAAAUCAAGGCACAUUUCUGCAGUAGGUCGUUUGGCUGGAUCCCACUUUAACAAUUGGGACAACAUUGAAGCAAAAGCUAAAUUCCAUGGUGGGGAAAAUAAGUCUCCAAAGUCGAGCGGAGCCAUUUUGGGUAGAGAAAUACCUAGCUUAUUAGCUAAUAGUUCAGCUCGAUCCCAGAUACCACCUCCCUUAUCUCCAGUAUUCUGAGAUUGCUCAUCAGGGCUUCCAAGUAUUUCACACAUUUUAUAUAAUUGGUCGAAAUCAUCAUUUCCAGGAAAAAUUGGUUGAAGUGUAGCAAUUUCAAAUGCCAUGCAUCCAGCAGCAUAUAUGUCGACCGGAAACGAAUAAUAAGAGUCCCGUAAUAAUAGUUCAGGUGCAC